AUUGAACGCUGGCGGCAUGCCUUACACAUGCAAGUCGAACGGCAGCACGGGUGCUUGCACCUUGUGGCGAGUGGCGAACGGGUGAGUAAUACAUCGGAACAUGUCCUGUAGUGGGGGAUAGCCCGGCGAAAGCCGGAUUAAUACCGCAUACGAUCUACGGAUGACAGCGGGGGACCUUCGGGCCUCGCGCUAUAGGGUUGGCCGAUGGCUGAUUAGCUAGUUGGUGGGGUAAAGGCCUACCAAGGCGACGAUCAGUAGCUGGUCUGAGAGGACGACCAGCCACACUAGGACUGAGACACGGCCCCGACUCCUACGGGAGGCAGCAGUGGGGAAUUUUGGACAAUGGGCGAAAGCCUGAUCCAGCAAUGCCGCGUGUGUGAAGAAGGCCUUCGGGUUGUAAAGCACUUUUGUCCGGAAAGAAAUGCUUGGCCCUAAUACGGUCGGGGGAUGACGGUACCGGAAGAAUAAGCACCGGCUAACUACGUG
rnacentral:rRNA from 1 species